rnacentral:rRNA from 1 species
GACGUAGGGCGCGAGCGUUGUCCGGAUUUAUUGGGCGUAAAGAGCUCGUAGGCGGCUUGUCGCGUCGACUGUGAAAACCCGUGGCUCAACUGCGGGCCUGCAGUCGAUACGGGCAGGCUAGAGUUCGGUAGGGGAGACUGGAAUUCCUGGUGUAGCGGUGAAAUGCGCAGAUAUCAGGAGGAACACCGGUGGCGAAGGCGGUGCCCUGGGCCGAAACUGACGCUGAGGAGCGAAAGCGUGGGUAGCAAACAGG